UACUUUGGACUGACGAUAGUCAAAUUUCCAGCGAAUAAUAACCUCAAUUAAUUGGAGCAAGUGUUUUUCUAGUUGCCUAAAAUCGGGAAAUAAAGGUAUUUUUGGAAUAACAUUCAGAGCCAUGGUACGAAUGAAGAAUUCAGAACGGACAAAAAAGCAUAGAUAGUUUAUUUCAAACCAAACAGAAUUGUUUAGGUUAGAUUCUUAAUAAAAGAGAUUUUUGUAUUACAUAAUUAGUAAGUUGGCAAUAAAUUAAACAUAUUUUUUAUCAAAAUAUACAUUAAAUUAACUAGAAAUUUCAUAACUUAUUGAAGAAUUAUACAAAAUAGGGAUAAAAGAUAGUCUACACC